UACGAAGGGGGCUAGCGUUGCUCGGAAUUACUGGGCGUAAAGGGAGCGUAGGGGACAUUUAAGUCAGGGGUGAAAUCCCAGAGCUCAACUCUGGAACUGCCUUUGAUACUGGAUGUCUUGAGUGUGAGAGAGGUAUGUGGAACUCCGAGUGUAGAGGUGAAAUUCGUAGAUAUUCGGAAGAACACCAGUGGCGAAGGCGACAUACUGGCUCAUUACUGACGCUGAGGCUCGAAAGCGUGGGGAGCAAACAGG
rnacentral:rRNA from 1 species